UAGGGAAUAUUGGGCAAUGGAGGGAACUCUGACCCAGCCAUGCCGCGUGCAGGAUGAAGGCGUUAUGCGUUGUAAACUGCUUUUAUAUAGGAAGAAAUAGUCCUUGCGAGGAAAGUUGACGGUACUAUAUGAAUAAGCACCGGCUAACUCCGUGCCAGCAGCCGCGGUAAUACGGAGGGUGCAAGCGUUGUCCGGAUUUAUUGGGUUUAAAGGGUGCGUAGGCGGUUUAUUAAGUCAGUGGUGAAAGACGGUCGCUCAACGAUUGCAGUGCCAUUGAUACUGGUAGACUUGAGUAUGAUUGAGGUAGCUGGAAUGGGUAGUGUAGCGGUGAAAUGCAUAGAUAUUAUCCAGAACACCAAUUGCGUAGGCAAGUUACUAAGUCAUAACUGACGCUGAGGCACGAAAGUGUGGGUAUCAAACAGGAUUAGAUACCCACGUAGUCCCUGAGCGGGCUGGCAAGGCGCAU
rnacentral:rRNA from 1 species